rnacentral:rRNA from 1 species
CGAACGCUGGCGGCGCGUUUUAAGCAUGCAAGUCGAACGGUAGUAGAGUGCUUGCACUCUAUGAGAGUGGCGAACGGGUGAGUAACACGUAGGUGAUCUAUCUUUGGGGUUCGGGAUAGCCUGUGGAAACACAGGGUAAUACCGGAUACGACCUUUAGAUUGCGGUCUAGAGGGGAAAGUCGCUUAGGCGACGCCCUAAGCUGAGCCUGCGGCUGAUUAGCUAGUUGGUAGGGUAACGGCCUACCAAGGUGACGAUGAGUAGCCGGCCUGAGAGGGUGAUCGGCCACACUGGGACUGAGACACGGCCCAGACUCCUACGGGAGGCAGCAGCUAAGAAUCUUCCGCAAUGGGGGAAACCCUGACGGAGCGACGCCGCGUGGACGAAGAAUGCCGGAAGGUUGUAAAGUCCUUUUCCUGGGGGAGAAUAAUGAGUGGAGGGAAUGCCAUUCAGAUGACGUGAACCAGGGAAUAAGCCCCGGCUAAUUAC